rnacentral:rRNA from 1 species
GACGAACGCUGGCGGCGUGCUUAACACAUGCAAGUCGAACGGAGAGGCCCUGCUUUUGUGGGGUGCUCGAGUGGCGAACGGGUGAGUAACACGUGAGUAACCUGCCCUUGACUUUGGGAUAACUUCAGGAAACUGGGGCUAAUACCGGAUAGGAGCUCCUGCUGCAUGGUGGGGGUUGGAAAGUUUCGGCGGUUGGGGAUGGACUCGCGGCUUAUCAGCUUGUUGGUGGGGUAGUGGCUUACCAAGGCUUUGACGGGUAGCCGGCCUGAGAGGGUGACCGGCCACAUUGGGACUGAGAUACGGCCCAGACUCCUACGGGAGGCAGCAGUGGGGAAUAUUGCACAAUGGGCGGAAGCCUGAUGCAGCAACGCAGCGUGCGGGAUGACGGCCUUCGGGUUGUAAACCGCUUUCGCCUGUGACGAAGCGUGAGUGACGGUAAUGGGUAAAGAAGCACCGGCUAACUACGUA